GGCCCCGACCCGCCCCCAGCCCCGACCCGCUCUUCCCCGGGGGUUCGGCCUCUGCCUUGAUCGCUCUGCCCCACCCCCCAGCCGCAACAUGCCCCGCCCACUGCGACCUCCUUUCGCCUCCCUCGCGCCCCCGCCCCUGAAACUCCUCUACCUAGGCUGAGGCCGGAAGCGGAAGUGAGUGCGGCGCACAGGACGCCAUUAGGAGAAGGUCAGAGGCGCCAGAAGAGCUGAGGACAGACAGGUCUGAGGAGCAGAGCAGGAGUUCUGGGAAGGAGAAGAGCAAUAUGAAGAUGGAGUCUAAGAUGACAUCAGGUGACUUCUGUGGAGGGAGACAUGCUGGACAGUGCCAAGGACUGGGGAGACAACCAGUAAGAACAAAGAGGUGUCCUUGCACCUGGAAGAGACUAUAAAAGGCAGAUGCCUCAUCUCCAUCUUGUCUUCAAUCCUGCUUCUUACCCGUGGAGGGACUUUGCUACAAAUGGAAGCUCUACACAAAGGACUGAUGACCCAUCCCAGCUGGGGAUGUUCCAGAGACUUGAUUUGAACCUGCAGUUUAUUCCAUCAUUGCUACAAGCCUGAACCAAGAACUUUCCCAUUACUGUGUGUGUAAUUGAUUCCAUUUAACCAAUUCUAGCUCUCAUCUAUAUCUUUUUCCUUUUAUGAAUAAACCUUUAGAUUUUAGAU